rnacentral:rRNA from 1 species
UACGUAGGGUGCGAGCGUUAAUCGGAAUUACUGGGCGUAAAGCGUGCGCAGGCGGUUCGUUAUGUCCGAUGUGAAAGCCCCGAGCUCAACUUGGGAAUGGCAUUGGAAACUGGCGGGCUGGAGUGUGGCAGAGGGGGGGUGGAAUUCCACGUGUAGCAGUGAAAUGCGUAGAGAUGUGGAGGAACACCGAUGGCGAAGGCAGCCCCCCUGGGUCAAGAUUGACGCUCAUGCACGAAAGCGUGGGGAGCAAACAGG